AACGAACGCUGGCGGCGUGGAUAAGACAUGCAAGUCGAACGCUGAUUUCAGGGUAGCAAUAUUCUGGAGUCGGAGUGGCGCAAGGGUGCGUAACACGUGGGUAAUUUGCCGUGAAGUUGGGGAUAACUCGCUGAAAGGCGAGCUAAUACCGAAUGUGAUCAUUGGAAGGCAUCUUCUGAUGAUUGAAGUUGGGGACCGCAAGGCCUGACGCUUCACGAUAAGCCCGCGGCCUAUCAGCUAGUUGGUGAGGUAACGGCCCACCAAGGCUUAGACGGGUAGCUGGUCUGAGAGGAUGAUCAGCCACACUGGAACUGAGACACGGUCCAGACUCCUACGGGAGCAGCAGUGGGAAUUUGACAAUGGCGAAGCCUGAUCCAGCGACGCCGCGUGUGCGAUGAAGGUCC
rnacentral:rRNA from 1 species